rnacentral:rRNA from 1 species
UCCUACCAAAUCCUGAUGAACUCCGAAUGCCGUAAUAUAUACUCUGCAGUGAGGGCUAGGGUGCUAAGGUCCUAGUCCGAGAGGGAAAGAACCCAGAUCUGCAGCUAAGGUCCCAAAGUAUAUGCUAAGUUGAACUAAGGCGGUUCAGUUGCUGAGACAGCAAGGAGGUUAGCUUGGAAGCAGCCAUUCCUUUAAAGAGUGCGUAACAGCUCACUUGUCGAGCGACAGAGCAUCGAUAAUAAUCGGGCAUCAAGCAUAUCACCGAAGCUCAGAAUUGUCACGACUUGUCGUGGCAGUGGUAGGGGAGCAUUCUAUAGGCGCCGAAGUUGUGACGUGAGUCAUGGUGGAGCGUAUAGAAAAGCAAAUGUAGGCAUAAGUAACGAUAAUGCGGGUGAGAA